rnacentral:lncRNA from 1 species
UAUGGUAGUCAAGCACAAAGUCCCCUCGAACAGAGUCAACAGAAAUCUAUGCAAUAGUCAUUGGAGAAUAUAAAGCAUAGCUAGCAAUGUCAACCAUCUAAGAACCUCAACAAUCACUUCCACUUCUUGAACUUGCCAAACAUUCGAUGCUUCCCUCCAAACAUUCGAUGCUUCCCAAACCUCAUAUGCUUCCCAUGUUUGAACUUGCCAUGCUUGAACUUUCCAUGAUGGUACCCAUGGAACAUCCCAUGGCCAAGAUGAUGAUAGCCAUGGGCCAUAUGGUGAGCCCCAUAAGCAGCUGCAGCAGCAGCUGCACCCCCAGCCAUUAGUGCCCCCAUGCCACUAGAUCCAUGACCUGGAUACAGAAUUUCCAAAGUAAAUAACAAUAAAAUAGUAGAAAUUCAAGAAAAAAGGGGGGGAAAACAUAGCAACACUGAAGGCUCUUCAAGUUAUUUCCUUGUCUAGUGUUCACUGAAGUUGAGUUUUAGGAGCGUGUCCAAUAAAAUCGGAAAAGGGCUCAUCCUAAUGAGAACAAGCAUCUUUUCUUUGGUUUUUUCUUUUUUUUUUUUGUUCUUGAAGCUGAUGAUGGUAAUGAUGGUGAUAAUGAUAUAUAAAAGCAACAAAUAUCUACGAUGAUGUUAUCAGUGUUUUACAGCCUUGAAGGCAUUGGCUAAUUUAUUGUUGGAAUAUAGAAGACCGAUGGGUUUAUACUACUAAAAUAGCAUGAAAUGAAGCACUAUAUAAUUUCUGAUAUAUUAACAAGGUCGCUAAGCAUAUCAGUAAGGGUUUGGAAAAAUAAUCACAGAUGCUCUAUGAUGAAUACCAUGAUAUGGGGGAGCAGAUGGACUAGCACCAGGAUAACCUGAUGGUGGGUAUCCACCAGCAGGUGGAUAUCCAGAGGGUGGGUAUCCAUGAGGGGGAUACCCUGC